UCCCCCUGCACCUGUUCUUUUCUUCUGGUAAAGACUGGCCACAAAGAAACCAAGUACGAGGAGGAGAAUUCUCAGCUCUGUUCCCUACUUACCAUUUUGUCAGUCUCUGGAAUUUUCUUACACUAUUGGCUAUGCCAUAUGAUAUCCUGCAGAAGUUCUUCACCCACGAGAACGUUCCCUAGGCUUGGAACUCACCAUCCACCUGCAAACGGCCUGAUGAUUCAAAAACGGUGUUCCUCUUUUGGAUGGCUAUUUACAGUUUUGAGAACUCCUGCCCCGGAUGUAGAAAGAGAGAACAGUCCCGUGAAAUUGGCAUCUUUGAAUAAUUUCCGCAUCAGAUGAAAAUGAAGAAUUUUCCAAAUACAACUGGACAUGCCACAAAGAGAAAAAUUAACUGGAAAACAACUUAAGCCCUCCACUGCAGAAAAUACAGCUGACCUUUGAAAAACAUAGAUUUGAACUGCACAAGUCCACAUAAGUGGAUUUUCUUCUACCUCUGCCACUCCAGAGACAGCAAGACCAACCCCUCCUCUUCUUCCUCCUCCUCAGCCUACUCAAUGAGAAGACAAUGAAGAUGAGGACUUUUAUGAUAAUCUGCUUCCACUUAAUGAAUAGUAAAUAUAUUUUCUCUUCCUUAAUAAUUUUCAUAAUAACAUAACAUUUUCUUUUCUCUAGCUCACUUUAUUGUAAGAAUACAGUAUAUAAAA
rnacentral:lncRNA from 1 species